rnacentral:rRNA from 1 species
GACGAACGCUGGCGGCGUGCUUAACACAUGCAAGUCGAACGGAAAGGCCCUGCUUUUGUGGGGUGCUCGAGUGGCGAACGGGUGAGUAACACGUGAGUAACCUGCCCUUGACUUUGGGAUAACUUCAGGAAACUGGGGCUAAUACCGGAUAGGAGCUCCUGCUGCUUGGUGGGGGUUGGAAAGUUUCGGCGGUUGGGGAUGGACUCGCGUCUUAUCAGCUUGUUGGUGGGGUAGUGGCUUACCAAGGCUUUGACGGGUAGCCGGCCUGAGAGGGUGACCGGCCACAAUGGGACUGAGAUACGGCCCAGACUCCUACGGGAGGCAGCAGUGGGGAAUAUUGCACAAUGGGCGGAAGCCUGAUGCAGCAACGCCGCGUGCGGGAUGACGGCCUUCGGGUUGUAAACCGCAUUCGCCUGUGACGAAGCGUGAGUGACGGUAAUGGGUAAAGAAGCACCGGCUAACUACGUG